UCUGGACGCCUGCCUGCUGCUGUAAAUUCAUAACAAGGAAGCCUAAAACUCAAAGAAUCAGAAGACAGUGGUGUCCAGCAAAACAAUGCGUUAGAACCAAAACUCCAACAAAGGCACAGCCAGCAGUUAUGCAGGAUGGGUGUGGUAGUGGCUCUGCCUGGAGGGCGAGUGAGAAGGACACAUCUAGUUUGGUUCACGAGAUGGUGGAGGGCACAAUCCUCAACGCUGAAGUUUGGGACUUGUCCGUAUUUCAGCUCCUACGGACUAUUUACUGCCAGAGCUGUGGAGUGUGACAAUGGUGUUUGUGUCCAAUCUAUCAAACGCCAUUAUCACACUAAAUAGCUACUGUUAGAUAAGCCAUCAGGUCACAGAAGGAAGAGAGCUUUAAGCAAUACAUUUUCUGGCUGUGAUGAGGAAUAAAGCAGGUUUGUUCUUGUAUGUCAUGAUGACUGUGCUCUUUUUUAUGAGCAAUGCUAAAAUAAUUUACAAUAAACAAAUACUCUGCUGUA